GAUGAACGCUGGCGGCGUGCUUAACACAUGCAAGUCGAACGGAGACGGCAAUUUCGAAGCAAUUAGUUUACUAAGAGCGGAGAUGCUGCCAUCUUAGUGGCGGACGGGUGAGUAACGCGUGGGUAACCUGCCUUACACUGGGGGAUAACACUUAGAAAUAGGUGCUAAUACCGCAUAACAGGGGAAGACGCAUGUCUUUUCCUUGAAAACUCCGGUGGUGUGAGAUGGACCCGCGUCUGAUUAGCUAGUUGGCGGGGUAGCGGCCCACCAAGGCGACGAUCAGUAGCCGGCCUGAGAGGGUGAACGGCCACAUUGGGACUGAGACACGGCCCAA
rnacentral:rRNA from 1 species